GCACAAAGAAGCAGGAAGACCCACAAGUUCUAUCGUGCCAUUCCUGACAUACAGACUCUGAAGUCAGUUCUUGCUUCAUUUCUUGGAAAAAUGUAGUUACGUCUGCAGAGCAUAAAUCUGUGAAAACACAAAAUUAAUACAUCAUAUCCAUCUUCAAAGUAUCCACAUUUGGGAAUUGGGAAACUACAGUGAGUAUUUUUUCUGCAACAAAUCAGAGACUAAGCCAGACACUGAAGCCCCAGAAUGCACCUGUGUUCAACAGUUCUAUCUGCGGAGUAACCCGGCAUGAUCUACUGCACUAGCUCUUUCAAAGAGAAGCCUCAGAAGGGAGGAGAAGAAUGUCUGAGGGUUUGUCUGGG
rnacentral:lncRNA from 1 species